rnacentral:rRNA from 1 species
GGGGAGCGUUGUGUAAGCGGAAGAAGGUGGCUCGAGAGGGUUGCUGGACGUAUCACAAGUGCGAAUGCUGACAUAAGUAACGAUAAAACGAGUGAAAAACUCGUUCGCCGGAAGACCAAGGGUUCCUGUCCAACGUUAAUCGGGGCAGGGUGAGUCGGCCCCUAAGGCGAGGCUGAAAAGCGUAGUCGAUGGGAAACGGGUUAAUAUUCCCGUACUUGGUAAAGCUGCGAUGUGGGGACGGAGAAGGUUAGGUAAGCGGACUGUUGGAAAUGUCCGUUUAAGUUGGUAGUUGGGAGCGGUAGGCAAAUCCGCUGCUCCAUUCAACAACGAGAGAUGAUGACGAGUUCCUAAGGGAAUGAAGUUACCGAUACCCGGCUUCCAGGAAAAGCCACUAAGCGAAAGGCUUUAUUAAACCGUACUGAAAACCGACACAGGUGGUCAGGUAGAGAAUACUCAGGCGCUUGAGAGAACUCGGGUGAAGGAACUAGGCAAAAUAGCACCGUAACUUCGGGAGAAGGUGCGCUUACAGUAAUUGUAGUCCCUCGCGGAUGAAGGUGAAGUAAGUCGAAGAUACCAGCUGGCUGCAACUGUUUAUUAAAAACACAGCACUCUGCAAACACGAAAGUGGACGUAUAGGGUGUGAUGCCUGCCCGGUGCUGGAAGGUUAAUUGAUGGUGUUAUCGAAAGAGAAGCUCCUGAUCGAAGCCCCAGUAAACGGCGGCCGUAACUAUAACGGUCCUAAGGUAGCGAAAUUCCUUGUCGGGUAAGUUCCGACCUGCACGAAUGGCAUAAUGAUGGCCAGGCUGUCUCCACCCGAGACUCAGUGAAAUUGAAAUCGCCGUGAAGAUGCGGUGUACCCGCGGCUAGACGGAAAGACCCCGUGAACCUUUACUAUAGCUUGACACUGAACAUUGAAUUUUGAUGUGUAGGAUAGGUGGGAGCCUUUGAAGCAGUGACGCCAGUCAUUGUGGAGGCGACCUUGAAAUACCACCCUUUAACGUUUGAUGUUCUAACGAAGUGCCUGAAACGGGUACUCGGACAGUGUCUGGUGGGUAGUUUGACUGGGGCGGUCUCCUCCCAAAGCGUAACGGAGGAGCACGAAGGUUUGCUAAUGACGGUCGGACAUCGUCAGGUUAGUGCAAUGGUAUAAGCAAGCUUAACUGCGAGACGGACAAGUCGAGCAGGUGCGAAAGCAGGUCAUAGUGAUCCGGUGGUUCUGAAUGGAAGGGCCAUCGCUCAACGGAUAAAAGGUACUCCGGGGAUAACAGGCUGAUACCGCCCAAGAGUUCAUAUCGACGGCGGUGUUUGGCACCUCGAUGUCGGCUCAUCACAUCCUGGGGCUGAAGUAGGUCCCAAGGGUAUGGCUGUUCGCCAUUUAAAGUGGUACGCGAGCUGGGUUUAGAACGUCGUGAGACAGUUCGGUCCCUAUCUGCCGUGGGCGUUGGAUGAUUGAUUGGGGCUGCUCCUAGUACGAGAGGACCGGAGUGGACGCAUCACUGGUGUUCCAGUUGUCUCGCCAGAGGCAUUGCUGGGUAGCUAAAUGCGGAAGAGAUAAGUGCUGAAAGCAUCUAAGCACGAAACUUGCCAAGAGAUGAGUCAUCCCUGACUUUAAGUCAGUAAGGGUUGUUUAAGACUAAGACGUAGAUAGGUUGGGUGUGUAAGUGUAGUGAUACAUUGAGCUAACCAAUACUAAUUGCCCGAGAGGCUUAACCAUACAACACUCAAG